rnacentral:tRNA from 2 species
GGCGACGUAGCUCAGGCGGCCAGAGCGAAGGCUUCAUAAUCCUUAGGUCGGUGGUUCGAGCCCACCCGUCGCCACCA